rnacentral:tRNA from 5 species
UGGAUAGAGUACUCGGCUACGAACCGAGCGGUCGGAGGUUCGAAUCCUCCCGGAUGCACCA